GACGAACCGAGCGAACGUUGUUCGGAAUCACUGGGCUUAAAGGGCGCGUAGGCGGAUUCUCAAGUCCGGGGUGAAAUCCUCCAGCUCAACUGGAGAACUGCCUCGGAUACUGGGUGUCUCGAGGGUGGUAGGGGUAUGCGGAACUAUCGGUGGAGCGGUGAAAUGCGUUGAUAUCGAUAGGAACUCCGGUGGCGAAGGCGGCAUACUGGACCACAUCUGACGCUGAGGCGCGAAAGCCAGGGGAGCGAACGGG
rnacentral:rRNA from 1 species